rnacentral:rRNA from 1 species
UUCCGGUUGAUCCUGCCGGACCCGACUGCUAUCAGAAUAGGACUAAGCCAUGCGAGUCAACGUAGUAGCAAUACUACGUGGCAUACGGCUCAGUAACACGUAGUCAACAUGCCCAGGGGACGUGGAUAACCUCGGGAAACUGAGGAUAAACCGCGAUAGGUCAUAAUGUCUGGAAUGAUUUAUGGCUCAAACCUAUAUGGCCCCUGGAUUGGACUGCGGCCGAUCAGGCUGUUGGUGAGGUAAUGGCCCACCAAACCUAAAACCGGUACGGGCUCUGAGAGGAGAAGCCCGGAGAUGGGCACUGAGACAAGGGCCCAGGCCCUAUGGGGCGCAGCAGGCGCGAAAACUCUGCAAUAGGCGAAAGCUUGACAGGGUUAUUCUGAGUGAUCUCCGUUAAGGAAAUCUUUUGGCACCUCUAAAAAUGGUGCAGAAUAAGGGGUGGGCAAGCCUGGUGUCAGCCGCCGCGGUAAUACCAGCACCCCGAGUGGUCGGGACGAUUAUUGGGCCUAAAGCAUCCGUAGCCGGUUCUACAAGUCUUCCGUUAAAUCCACCUGCUUAACAGAUGGGCUGCAGAGGAUACUAUAGAGCUAGGAGGCGGGAGAGGCAAGCGGUACUCAGUGGGUAGGGGUAAAAUCCGUUGAUCCACUGAAGACCACCAGUGGCGAAGGCGGCUUGCCAGAACGCGCUCGACGGUGAGGGAUGAAAGCUGGGGGAGCAAACCGGAUUAGAUACCCGGGUAGUCCCAGCUGUAAACGAUGCAGACUCGGUGAUGAAUAGGCUUAGUGCCUAUUCAGUGCCGCAGGGAAGCCGUUAAGUCUGCCGCCUGGGGAGUACGGUCGCAAGACUGAAACUUAAAGGAAUUGGCGGGGAGCACCACAAGG